UAUCUCUGUAGAGUCUGCAUAUCAAUAAGCGGAGGAAAAGAAACUAACUAGGAUUCCCUCAGUAACGGCGAGUGAAGCGGGAAGAGCUCAAAUUUGAAAUCUUCAAGGUUCUACCUUGACGAAUUGUAGUUUAAAGAAGUGUUUUCUGUUGGAGUUUUGGUAAAAGUUCUUUGGAAUAGGACAUCAUAGAGGGUGAGAAUCCCGUAUUUGACCAUUAUUUCCAGCUUUGUGAUACACUCUCAAAGAGUCGGAUUGUUUGGGAAUGCAGUCCAAAAUGGGUGGUAAAUUUCAUCUAAAGCUAAAUAUUGGCGUGAGACCGAUAGCGAACAAGUACCGUGAGGGAAAGAUGAAAAGAACUUUGAAAAGAGAGUUAAACAGUACGUGAAAUUGUCAAAAGGGAAGCGUUUGACACCAGUGUUGUUUUCUCGAAAUCAAUUAAAAAAGGCAGGAUUUUGUGUUGUAUUGACUUUAUCAGCUUUCUGCACUCUUUUCUUGUCUUUUUUAAUGCACUUUUCAGUUUAACGAGUCAACAUCAAUUUCUUUUGUUGUAAAAGGGUCAUUGGAAGGUGGCUUUCUUUUCGGAGAAAGUGUUUAUAGCCUUUGGCCUCUGCAAUCGGAGAGAUUGAGGUCUGCAGCGUAGAUCCUUCGGGGUUAGAUACAUUUGUGCUAAGUUAUAGCCUUUCAUAGACAACUUGUUGACUAUGAUCAGUCAUGUAGCUUACUCGCUUAUGCUAUUUUACCUACGCUUAGGAUGUUGACGAUCAGCUGAGCGCG
rnacentral:rRNA from 1 species